CAGAGACAACGGGCUGCCUCGCUAAACGAUGCACACCUGUAACUCACGUGACCCUGGUUAUUAUUGAAACGAGAACGAGGGCGUCGUGCCUUUAUAAGACUGCGUUAAUGGUUCCGUGGAGUUAUCCCUUCCGUUGUUGUUUAUUGAUUGUUAAACAUGGCUUCAUUUACAAAGGUGGUUGUGUGUGUCCUCAUUGCUUGUGUCUGUAAUGCAUUCGGUUUUCCGAAGAGAGAUGUGAACUUUAAGGCCUCUGCAGUUGACCGCCAAAGUGAUGAUGUGGUUGUCACCACAACAGCCGUUCCCCACAACCAGACCACCUCUGCCCCUACUGAAGCUGGUGGUGAGCAAGUGAAGAUGCUGUGGCUACUACCCCAGCACCUAAUCCACACAACCAGACAACUUCUGCACAAACUGAAGUUACUGAUGGGGCCAGUGAAGAUGCUGUGGACCGCCAAAGUGAUGAUGUGGUUGUCGCCACAACACCCAAUCCCCACAACCAGACCACAUCUGCCCCUACUGAAGCUGGUGGAGAUGGAGCAGGUGAAGAUGAUUCAGAUGAUGAUGAUGAUGCAGAUGAUGAUGCAAGUGACGAUGAUGCAGAUGAUGAUGAUGCAAGUGAUGAUGCUGUGGCUACCACCCCAACACCAAAUCCACCAACUACAUCUGACCGCACUGCAGCUACCGAUGAUGCAAGUGAGGGUGCUGUGGCUGCCCAAACUGGAACUACUGUAUCCCAUACGACUGAAGUCUGAUUCGACUGCUCCUCUGGUCACAAUGACCUGUCUGGACUUUUUGCCUCUACAUGUUCACUGCAAUAAAGGACAGAUUUGUAUUUUUUUUUUAAUCAAAUGUUGUCUUGCCUUUUUCAAAUUGAGGCCUUGUCCUGUUUUGGUAGUGGAGAUAACUGACGCCUCUUUCCUAACGCACUACAUUUCUGGCAACUUAUAAUGCAUAGUGAACAUGUAAUAAUUCGGUGGUAUGAUCCCAGGAGAACAUUUUUAAGAAACAAAUCACAGAAUUGUGGUUCCUCGCCGUUUUUUUUUUAAUAUAAAUCGAGGCUUUCCUCAUAAUACCGCAAGAACAAAAAGGAAAUAAAAACUAAACGAGUCAAUUCCUCAAAAUGAUAUGAAUUGCUACUGCUGCACUCGUAAAACUUCUAACUAAACUGAAAUUAAAAACCAAACUGAAA
ensembl:lncRNA